rnacentral:rRNA from 1 species
AGAGUUUGAUCCUGGCUCAGGACGAACGCUGGCGGCGUGCCUAACACAUGCAAGUCGAGCGGGGAUUAACUUUAACACAGAGUAUUGCAGCGAGCCAAGCGUAUUAUGCAAAAACAACCUCUUUAGUAUAUAGCUUUUAAUAAGAAGUUUUUGCAUUACGCGUCCCAAAGUGCCAACACGGCACAAGGGUGGCAGGUAAGUUGGAGUAUUGCGUGUUAAAGUUAAUCCUAGCGGCGGACGGGUGAGUAACGCGUGAGCAAUCUGCCUCGUACAGGGGGAUAACAGUUGGAAACAGCUGCUAAUACCGCAUAAGACCACACUAUCGCAUGGUAGAGAGGUCAAAGGUUAAGUCCGGUAUGAGAUGAGCUCGCGUCCCAUUAGCUAGUUGGUGGAGUAAGAGCCUACCAAGGCGACGAUGGGUAGCCGACCUGAGAGGGUGAUCGGCCACACUGGAACUGAGACACGGUCCAGACUCCUACGGGAGGCAGCAGUGGGGAAUAUUGCGCAAUGGGGGAAACCCUGACGCAGCGACGCCGCGUGAGCGAUGAAGGCUUUCGGGUUGUAAAGCUCUGUUCUAAGGGACGAAUGUCUCUGUUGUGAAUAAUGGCAGAGAGUGACGGUACCUUAGGAGAAAGCCCCGGCUAACUACGUGCCAGCAGCCGCGGUAAUACGUAGGGGGCGAGCGUUGUCCGGAAUUACUGGGCGUAAAGGGCGUGUAGGCGGGUGCUUAAGUCAGGUGUGAAAGACCGGGGCUCAACUCCGGGAUUGCACUUGAAACUGGGUAUCUUGAGGGCAGGAGAGGAAAGCGGAAUUCCUGGUGUAGCGGUGAAAUGCGUAGAUAUCAGGAGGAACACCGGUGGCGAAGGCGGCUUUCUGGACUGACCCUGACGCUGAGACGCGAAAGCGUGGGGAGCAAACAGGAUUAGAUACCCUGGUAGUCCACGCUGUAAACGAUGAAUACUAGGUGUCGGGUGGCAAAGCCAUUCGGUGCCGCAGCUAACGCAAUAAGUAUUCCACCUGGGGAGUACGUUCGCAAGAAUGAAACUCAAAGGAAUUGACGGGGACCCGCACAAGCGGUGGAGCAUGUGGUUUAAUUCGACGCAACGCGAAGAACCUUACCAAGUCUUGACAUCCUUUUGACCGGUCGGUAAUGCGACCUUCUCUUCGGAGCAAAAGUGACAGGUGGUGCAUGGUUGUCGUCAGCUCGUGUCGUGAGAUGUUGGGUUAAGUCCCGCAACGAGCGCAACCCUUAUCUUUAGUAGCCAGCAUUUCGGAUGGGCACUCUAGAGAGACUGCCAGGGAUAACCUGGAGGAAGGUGGGGAUGACGUCAAAUCAUCAUGCCCCUUAUGACUUGGGCUACACACGUGCUACAAUGGCGUAAACAAAGGGACGCAAUACCGCGAGGUUGAGCAAAUCCCAAAAAUAACGUCUCAGUUCGGAUUGUAGUCUGCAACUCGACUACAUGAAGCUGGAAUCGCUAGUAAUCGCAAAUCAGAAUGUUGCGGUGAAUACGUCCCCGGGUCUUGUACACACCGCCCGUCACACCAUGGGAGUUGGGAAUGCCCGAAGCCAGUGACCUAACCGUAAGGAAGGAGCUGUCGAAGGCAGGCUCGAUGACUGGGGUGAAGUCGUAACAAGGUA